UGAGAAGGACUUAAUUGUGUCUUUAGUCCAGCUACAGGAAACACCUUUUCUCUGAAAGUAACAAUGAAAAUACAAGCCCUGAUAAGAGUGAGAAAAGCUGGAUCCUUGACUCUCAGAUACAGCCAGUGCCAAAAUCUGUUGACUAUACCCGAAAAAGACCCAGGGUGAGAAGUAAAUUAAAAGUGCUUCCAGUGUCUUCUGCAAGCAGUGGCAGUGACUACGAGUCAAAGAAGGAGGGAGAAUCAAGGCAAAGAGCUCAAAAGGAGAUGCUAAAGAAAAACUCAUUGAGCUCCAAGGAAGAUGAUUUACCCACAGUGAAUCUUGCUGGUAUUUUUAUUUUAAUAUUCUUCAGUGCAUUAGAAGGGUUUUGAUAUGUGUGGGUCUGUACUUUUUUGGAUGAGUUCUUUUGGUGGUGGGUUUUUCUUUUUGAUUUUGCCACUUUUCCUUCACAUUCUUCCCAUAAAUAUUUGCCUUCUGAUAUUUCUUUGUGAUGGCUAUGAGGGGUAGAUACUGUCUGUGUAUACAGUCUCUUGUAC
rnacentral:lncRNA from 1 species